CCGCUGAAAGCAUAUAAGCGGGAAGCCCCUCCCAAGAUUAAUCCUCUUAGACAGGUUGGAGAUCACAACCUUGAUAGGCCUUAGAUGUAAGCUCUGUAAAGAGUUUAGUCGAGAGGUACUAAUUAGUCAUUAAUAUAUUGUA
rnacentral:rRNA from 1 species